rnacentral:lncRNA from 1 species
GGUAACCCAAGCAACCAACCAUAAAAUUACCAUCCUGCAUUAAGGUAAAAUUUUAUCAGAAAACCUUGCAUAGAAAUAGGAAAAUUCCAAUCAGAAAACGGAAAAUAGUUGAUUAUAGAACUGCAAAACGGACAUUGUUAAGCAUGCUGCCCUCUCAUAUAUCCCAAUUUAGCCAAUAGAUGAUUUCACACAACAGACACGCUCUUGAUGUAGUGAUAUCUACAGUAACAUGCUGGUCUUCAAAAGGAAAAUUUUAGGCCUGGUGCUUUAGUGAUGGCCCUCAGGGGCCGGAUUUAGUGCAACUCCUACAAGUUCAAUUGAACCCAUAACUUUUGACGCAGUGCAUAAAUAAAUGUAUAAAAAUUUACUAAAAUUGCAACAACAUGUGAAUAUGAACCCAUAACUAAUAAUAUAACAGGUUCAAUAUCAUGAAUCUUAAAAGCUGCACUCAUAGAGUUUAUCCGCCUCCGAUGGCCCUUAAGAGAAUGCUGACGGACUCAAGUUAAUGGUAUCCUAGUUCUAUGAAUAAUCAUCAAACUUCUUCUCAGCAAUUAAUCUGUUGUCUCCCAUUAAAGUGCACAUGCUGAACAAAAGAGGCACAAUGGAGCUGGAGGUGGAGAAGAGACCCCAAAAAAUAAGAAAGAAAGUAAUUGUAAGCAUUACCGGUUUUUGUUUGAGUACCAUAUCUGACUCUAGACAAAGUCCACAUCUCCGCACGACAUCUCCAACUACUUGUUGCUCGCCACUGCUGGAUCUAUUUGAU